rnacentral:rRNA from 1 species
GGUCAAGUUAUUAAGGGUGCAGGGCGGAUGCCUUGGCACUAGGAGCCGAUGAAGGACGUGAUAAGCUGCGAUAAGCUUCGGGGAGUUGCACGUAAACUUUGAUCCGAAGAUUUCCGAAUGAGGAAACUCACUUAGAGUAAUGUCUAAGUAUCAUUAAGUGAAUACAUAGCUUAAUGAGGGGAACUCAGGGAACUGAAACAUCUAAGUACCUGAAGGAAGAGAAAGAAAUUCGAUUCCGUAAGUAGCGGCGAGCGAACGCGGAUUAGCCCAAACCAAUAAAGUUUUCUUUAUUGGGGUUGCGGACAUAUCAUAACGAAGAGGUAUCGUAAUUGAAGAGGUUUGGAAAGACCCACCACAGAAGGUAAUAGUCCUGUAUGUUAAACGAGAAGACUUCAGAUAUGAUCCAGAGUACCACGGGACACGUGAAACCCUGUGGGAAGCAGGAGGGACCACCCUCCAAGGCUAAAUACUACCUAGUGACCGAUAGCGUAUAGUACCGUGAGGGAAAGGUGAAAAGAACCCCGGGAGGGGAGUGAAAUAGAACCUGAAACCCUGCACUUACAAGCUGUGGAAGCACAUUUCUUGUGUGACCGCGUACUUUUUGUAGAACGGGCCAACGAGUUACGUUAAGUAGCAAGGUUAAGCACUUAAGGUGCGGAGCCGUAGCGAAAGCGAGUUUUAACUGAGCGUUCAGUUACUUGACGUAGACCCGAAACCGGGCGACCUACCCAUGAGCAGGAUGAAGCGAAAGUAAAAUUUCGUGGAGGUCCGAACCCACGAGCGUUGAAAAGCUCGGGGAUGACUUGUGGGUAGCGGUGAAAUUCCAAUCGAGCCCGGAGAUAGCUGGUUCUCCCCGAAAUAGCUUUAGGGCUAGCCUCAAGGUGAGAGAUACGGAGGUAGAGCACUGAAUGUCCUAGGGGGUAUUGCACCUACCGAAGACUAUCAAACUCCGAAUGCCGUCAUCUUAUACUUGGGAGUCAGACUGUGGGUGAUAAGAUUCAUAGUCGAAAGGGCAACAGCCCAGAUCGUCAGCUAAGGUCCCUAAAUGUAAGUUAAGUGGUAAAGGAUGUGGGAUUGCACAGACAACCAGGAUGUUGGCUUAGAAGCAGCCACUCAUUCAAAGAGUGCGUAAUAGCUCACUGGUCGAGUGAUCCUGCGCCGAAGAUUUCCGGGGCUAAAACUUACUACCGAAGCUACGGCAUCAGUAAUGAUGGGUAGGGGAGCUUCCCAUACGGGUUGAAGCAUGACCGUAAGGACAUGUGGACAGUAUGGGAGUGAGAAUGUUGGCAUGAGUAGCGAGAUGUGGGUGAGAAUCCCACAGGCCGUAAACCCAAGGUUUCCAGGGGAAGGUUCGUCCGCCCUGGGUUAGUCGGGACCUAAGCUGAGGCCGAAAGGCGUAGGUGAUGGACAACAGGUUGAUAUUCCUGUACUACCGAUAACCGUUUGAGAGAAGGGAUGACACAGUAGGAUAAGCUAAGCACACUGUUGGUUAUGUGUGCCCAAGCAUUGAGGCAGUCAAAGUAGGCAAAUCCGCUUUGAUAAUGCUGGGAUGUGAUGGGGAGCGAAAUUUAGUAGCGAAGUAGCUGAUUUCACACUGUCAAGAAAAGUCUCUAUCGAGGUUAAAGGUACCCGUACCGCAAACCGACACAGGUGGGUGAGGAGAGUAUCCUAAGGCCAGCGAGAGAACUGUUGUUAAGGAACUCGGCAAAAUGACCCCGUAACUUAGGGAUAAGGGGUGCCACCAUCAGGUGGCCGCAGAGAAUAGGCCCAAGCGACUGUUUACCAAAAACAUAGGUUUCUGCUAAGUCGCAAGACGAUGUAUAGGAGCUGACGCCUGCCCGGUGCUGGAAGGUUAAGGGGAUCUGUUAGAGCAAUCGAAGCAGUGAACUUAAGCCCCAGUAAACGGCGGCCGUAACUAUAACGGUCCUAAGGUAGCGAAAUUCCUUGUCGGGUAAGUUCCGACCCGCACGAAAGGCGUAACGAUUUGGGCACUGUCUCAACAACAGACUCGGUGAAAUUGUAAUUCCGGUGAAGAUGCCGGAUACCUGCGACAGGACGGAAAGACCCCAUGGAGCUUUACUGUAGCUUGACAUUGGGUCUUGGUACUACAUGUACAGGAUAGGUGGGAGGCUUUGAAACCAGGACGCCAGUUUUGGCGGAGCCAUCCUUGGGAUACCACCCUUGUAGUACUGGGACUCUAACCAUAGGCCAUGAAUCUGGUCUUGGGACACUGUCAGGUGGGCAGUUUGACUGGGGCGGUCGCCUCCCAAAAGGUAACGGAGGCGCUCAAAGGUUCUCUCAGUACGGUCGGAAAUCGUACGUAGAGUGUAAAGGCAAAAGAGAGCUUGAUUGCAAGACAUACAGGUCGAGCAAGGAUGAAAAUCGGACUUAGUGAUCCGGUGGUUCUGCGUGGAAGGGCCAUCGCUCAACGGAUAAAAGCUACCCUGGGGAUAACAGGCUUAUCUCCCCCAAGAGUCCACAUCGACGGGGAGGUUUGGCACCUCGAUGUCGGCUCAUCACAUCCUGGGGCUGUAGUAGGUCCCAAGGGUUGGGCUGUUCGCCCAUUAAAGUGGUACGCGAGCUGGGUUCAGAACGUCGUGAGACAGUUCGGUCCCUAUCCGUCGCAGGCGUAGGAAAUUUGAGAAGACCUGUCCUUAGUACGAGAGGACCGGGAUGGACGUAUCUCUGGUGUACCAGUUGUCCUGCCAAGGGCAUGGCUGGGUAGCUAUGUACGGAAUGGAUAAGCGCUGAAAGCAUCUAAGCGCGAAGCCAACUUCAAGAUAAGAUUUCCCACCGCAAGGGUAAGACCCCAGAAAGACUAUCUGGUUGAUAGGUCGAAGGUGUAAGUGCAGCAAUGUAUUUAGCUUAUCGAUACUAAUAGGUCGAGGACUUGACCAA